AUGGUGCUGGAAACGAAGCCGAGAGAGGCAACUGCAGGUGCAGCGGGGCCUGGAGGCAGCAGCUCCCUCGCCGUGGCCGAGAAGAAAGGACACGCCUGGUGGGGUGGGGGACGCUUGGGGCUUCUGAGCACGCAGCCUGUGACAGGACCCCCCUGCCGUGGUCCUGUCCCACACACGAGCGCCCCCUGUACCCAGUGGUCAGGGGAGCUACUGCGGGAGGCAGCCUGGACUGGGGCAGACCCUCAGUGGCCCAUGACCGCGGAGGGACGCGGUCACGCAGCAGCCCUGGUCUCGGCUUUCUCGUCUGCAGGACGACCUGGGGCCAGUCCAUCCCCAUGGUCCCACCCAGCCCAGCAGGCUCAGCAGCGCCUUUUCAAAGCCGAAAGCUUUCCACCUCAACCCGAAGCCACCAGCUCCCAGGACAGGACGUGCCCUCAGAGUUUAGUGACUACAAAUAGUGGCUGGGCCAACUCAGGCAGCGGCAGAGAAGGCAGCCUCCCAGCCGCCAGGGAAGGGCCCAGCAGGGCCACUACCCAGCUCGCAGAGCCCUGGGAACCCCAGCAACAAGGUCCACACGGGGCUCGGAGGUGCAGAGCUUGCUCCCCACCGUCUGCAGGCCGGGGUGGGGGUGCCUCUGCCUCUGUCCCACACCCCCGUGACGCCACUGCCCCUCUCUGUCUCUGCCCUCCCUUCUCUGCCCCCCCAGCUCUGCCCCACCCCCGUCUCAGCCUCACCCCGUCUCUGCCCCCCUCCCCAUCUCUGUUCUCCUGCAUCUCCCCUGGACCCUGGCCCCCUCGGCUUAGGGUCCACCUGGACCCGACAACCCCACCUCACUUGGUCACACCUGCAGCCAGCCUGUCUCUUGGUGUCCGUACCACAGGCGCCAUGGCAGGACUGAAACCCCAGGCCCGUCCUACCGUCGGGGCUGGGCCAGCCUGCAUUACCGAGCGUCUACCUCACACGCAGCCUGCUGGACGGGCCGCGUGCGGACACGGCAAGCUUUCCAAAGCCGUGAAGGGGAGGAGAAGGGCGGCCGCAGCCUUGCUGGGAGGAAAGGAAGCCCUGCCAGGGUUUGGUUGA
rnacentral:lncRNA from 1 species